UUUUUUUUUUGGUUUGUUUAGCUAAGUAUUUGUCAAUUUUGUUUAUCUUUUCAAACAACCACCUUUUAGUUUAAUUGAUCCUUUCUAUUAAUUUAUUUCCUGUUCUGAUAUUUAUGAUUUAUUUCCUGCUACUGAUUUUGGAUUUGGUUUGCUCCUGUUUUUCUAAUGCCCUGAGAAAUAUCAUUAGAUUAUUUGUGUUUGCUGUGGUGAUUUUUUUAAUGUAUGUACUCAUAGUUAUAAAAUUCCAUCUUAGUACUGCUUUCAUUAUACUUCUGAAAUGUUGGUAAUUAUGCAACACUGGCUGAGUCAUAAAGAAUUGAGUGUAUGUCUUAGUUGUGAUUAUUGAUCCUGAGUAUAUCUUAGUUUAAGUUUCUUAUGUUGUGAAACAGGAAUAUUUGUUUCUUUGAGAAUUUGAUAAAAGUAGUCCUGAGUGAUUCAUUUCAGAUUAUAAUGACAACUUUUAUUACUGCUUAAGUUUUUGUUUUUAUUUAUUUUUAAAGUUUUUGGUACUAGGGAUUGAACCUAGGAGUGCUUUACCACUGAGUUACCUUCCCUAUUACCCCCUCUUUUUAAAAACAAAUUUUUGAGAUGAUUUUGCUUAGUUGCUGAAACUGGCCUUAAAUUUGUGAUCCUUUUGUCUCAGCCUCCUGAGUUACUGGGAUUCUAGGCAUAUACCUCCAUGCCUAGCGUAUUAAAUAGGGUUUUAGAGGGAAAGUAAGAGAAGAAAAACUUGGAAGUGAAUAUUCAACUCUCUGUACCAAAGUAAGAUGACUUUCUUCUUUUUUUCAAUCCUGCCAAAUAUCACAAAACCUGGACAUUAUGAAGGAAAAAGAAAAUAAAGGUUUUUUUUAGUUUUUUUCAAUGUAGUAAGAAAAAGUGGGAGCAAGUAAGUAUUUUCUUAUGCAAUAUCUUAGAAGAGUCUUCAAAUCUUGUAUAAAAUAAGUGGUUUUUAUCUUGAAAUUGCAUAUAGACACUGUCUUUUUCUUAUUAGACUGCAAGCGCUCCUGAAACCCCUCUAAUAAAUAAGCACCGCCCAACUUUUUGAGGUCCAAUACUAUUUCCAAACCAUAUGUUUCAAACAUCCUGCCAUCGGAUGCACCCAAGAAGAGGCGUGCUCCAUUGCCUCCAAUGCCAGCAUCUCAGAGUGCCCCUCAGGACCUUACAAACAUACAGGAGAGGCCAGCUUCUUGUGUGGUGAAAUCCACAAGUGUGGAGGAGACUGAUAAGGUGGGUAGGUUUGUUUUGUUUUACAGGAUGAGACAAGGUUACGUAACUUAGACCCCCAAGAAAGUUAGUAACAGUUAUUAAUAUGUAAUAACAUGAAUAAGUACUUAACUAAAAUUGGUACUGGAAAAAGAUUAUAUGUAGUUUGAUUCAAUGAAGAAUAAGUUGCUAUUUUAUGGAGCUUUUUUUUAUUCAAGCAAAUAGCUGGUCUAUAAACAUUAUGUCUUACUUAAUGCAUAUAUUACAGAUGAAAAUGCUUAUUUUCAAAUGAAAAUGUUUUUAAACAACAGUCUUUGUGCUAAUUCAUGGGCUUCUAAUUUGUAUGUCUUCUUUACCUAAUUUUGAGAUUCUGCAGAGGAAAUACUUGUGUCUACCUAAAAUCAAUACUAAAUCAACAUAUUGUGAUUACCUUUAUGUGUUCUUAUGUUCAAAUCAUUGUUCUAUGUGUACCUUUUCCUUUAAGUUUUACUUUUAUUCUUCUUCUUUAUUGUCUU
rnacentral:lncRNA from 1 species